GAUGAACGCUAGCUGGCAGGCUUAACACAUGCAAGUCGAGGGGCAGCAUUUCAGUUUGCUUGCAAACUGGAGAUGGCGACCGGCGCACGGGUGAGUAACACGUAUCCAACCUGCCGAUAACUCGGGGAUAGCCUUUCGAAAGAAAGAUUAAUACCCGAUAGUAUAAUGAAACCGCAUGGUCUUAUUAUUAAAGGAUUCCGGUUACCGAUGGGGAUGCGUUCCAUUAGGCAGUUGGCGGGGUAACGGCCCACCAAACCUACGAUGGAUAGGGGUUCUGAGAGGAAGGUCCCCCACAUUGGAACUGAGACACGGUCCAA
rnacentral:rRNA from 1 species